rnacentral:rRNA from 2 species
CAAACUGGGAUUAGAUACCCCACUAUGCUUAGCCCUAAACACAAAUAAUUGCAUAAACAAAAUUAUUCGCCAGAGUACUACCGGCAACAGCCUAAAACUCAAAGGACUUGGCGGUGCUUUAUACCCUUCUAGAGGAGCCUGUUCUAUAAUCGAUAAACCCCGAUAAACCUCACCAGUCCUUGCUAAUACAGUCUAUAUACCGCCAUCUUCAGCAAACCCUAAAAAGGAAUAAAAGUAAGCACAAUUAUAAGACAUAAAAACGUUAGGUCAAGGUGUAACCUAUGGAGUGGGAAGAAAUGGGCUACAUUUUCUACCUUAAGAAAACUUACACGAAAGUCACUAUGAAACUAGUAACCAAAGGAGGAUUUAGUAGUAAACUAAGAAUAGAGUGCUUAGUUGAAUUAGGCCAUGAAGCACGCACACACCGCCCGUCACCCUCUGCAGUCAAU